rnacentral:rRNA from 1 species
GAUGAACGCUGGCGGCGUGCCUAAUACAUGCAAGUCGAGCGAACGGACGAGGUGCUUGCUCCUCUGAGGUUAGCGGCGGACGGGUGAGUAACACGUGGGUAACCUACCUAUAAGACUGGGAUAACUUCGGGAAACCGGUGCUAAUACCGGAUAAUAUCUUUAACCGCAUGGUUCAAGAGUGAAAGACGGUCUUGCUGUCACUUAUAGUGGUAUCCGCGCUGCAUUAGCUAGUUGGUAAGGUAACGGCUUACCAAGGCAACGAUGCAUAGCCGACCUGAGAGGGUGAUCGGCCACACUGGAACUGAGACACGGUCCAGACUCCUACGGGAGGCAGCAGUAGGGAAUCUUCGGCAAUGGGCGAAGGCCUGACGGAGCAACGCCGCGUGGGUGAUGAAGGUCUUCGGAUCGUAAAACUCUGUUAUUAGGGAAGAACAUAUGUGUAAGUAAAUGUGCACAUCUUGACGGUACCUAAUCAGAAAGCCACGGCUAACUACGUG